rnacentral:rRNA from 1 species
CACGUGAGUAACCUGCCCUUAACUCUGGGAUAAGCCUGGGAAACUGGGUCUAAUACCGGAUAGGAGCGUCCACCGCAUGGUGGGUGUUGGAAAGAUUUAUCGGUUUUGGAUGGACUCGCGGCCUAUCAGCUUGUUGGUGAGGUAAUGGCUCACCAAGGCGACGACGGGUAGCCGGCCUGAGAGGGUGACCGGCCACACUGGGACUGAGACACGGCCCAGACUCCUACGGGAGGCAGCAGUGGGGAAUAUUGCACAAUGGGCGAAAGCCUGAUGCAGCGACGCCGCGUGAGGGAUGACGGCCUUCGGGUUGUAAACCUCUUUCAGUAGGGAAGAAGCGAAAGUGACGGUACCUGCAGAAGAAGCACCGGCUAACUACGUGCCAGCAGCCGCGGUAAUACGUAGGGUGCGAGCGUUAUCCGGAAUUAUUGGGCGUAAAGAGCUCGUAGGCGGUUUGUCGCGUCUGUCGUGAAAGUCCGGGGCUUAACCCCGGAUCUGCGGUGGGUACGGGCAGACUAGAGUGCAGUAGGGGAGACUGGAAUUCCUGGUGUAGCGGUGGAAUGCGCAGAUAUCAGGAGGAACACCGAUGGCGAAGGCAGGUCUCUGGGCUGUAACUGACGCUGAGGAGCGAAAGCAUGGGGAGCGAACAGGAUUAGAUACCCUGGUAGUCCAUGCCGUAAACGUUGGGCACUAGGUGUGGGGACCAUUCCACGGUUUCCGCGCCGCAGCUAACGCAUUAAGUGCCCCGCCUGGGGAGUACGGCCGCAAGGCUAAAACUCAAAGGAAUUGACGGGGGCCCGCACAAGCGGCGGAGCAUGCGGAUUAAUUCGAUGCAACGCGAAGAACCUUACCAAGGCUUGACAUGUUCUCGAUCGCCGUAGAGAUACGGUUUCCCCUUUGGGGUGGGUUCACAGGUGGUGCAUGGUUGUCGUCAGCUCGUGUCGUGAGAUGUUGGGUUAAGUCCCGCAACGAGCGCAACCCUCGUUCCAUGUUGCCAGCACGUCGUGGUGGGGACUCAUGGGAGACUGCCGGGGUCAACUCGGAGGAAGGUGAGGACGACGUCAAAUCAUCAUGCCCCUUAUGUCUUGGGCUUCACGCAUGCUACAAUGGCCGGUACAAUGGGUUGCGAUACUGUGAGGUGGAGCUAAUCCCAAAAAGCCGGUCUCAGUUCGGAUUGGGGUCUGCAACUCGACCCCAUGAAGUCGGAGUCGCUAGUAAUCGCAGAUCAGCAACGCUGCGGUGAAUACGUUCCCGGG